rnacentral:rRNA from 1 species
GACGAACGCUGGCGGCGUGCUUAACACAUGCAAGUCGAACGGAAAGGCCCUGCUUUUGUGGGGUGCUCGAGUGGCGAACGGGUGAGUAACACGUGAGUAACCUGCCCUUGACUUUGGGAUAACUUCAGGAAACUGGGGCUAAUACCGGAUAGGAGCUCCUGCUGCAUGGUGGGGGUUGGAAAGUUUCGGCGGUUGGGGAUGGACUCGCGGCUUAUCAGCUUGUGGGUGGGGUAGUGGCUGACCAAGGCUUUGACGGGUAGCCGGCCUGAGAGGGUGACCGGCCACAUUGGGACUGAGAUACGGCCCAGACUCCUACGGGAGGCAGCAGUGGGGAAUAUUGCACAAUGGGCGGAAGCCUGAUGCAGCAACGCCGCGUGCGGGAUGACGGCCUUCGGGUUGUAAACCGCUUUCGCCUGUGACGAAGCGUGAGUGACGGUAAUGGGUAAAGAAGCACCGGCUAACUACGU